GAUGAACGCUAGCGGCGGGCUUAAUACAUGCAAGUCAAGGGGUAGCAAUACACCGGCGUACGGGUGCGUAACGCGUAUGGAACCUGCCCUUAUCUGGGGGAUAACUCGGGGAAACUCGAGCUAAUACCGCAUAAGAUAGUAGAAUGGCAUCAUUUAGCUAUUAAAGAUUUAUCGGAUAAGGAUGGCCAUGCGUAAGAUUAGAUAGUUGGUGGGGUAACGGCUCACCAAGUCUACGAUCUUUAGGGGCUCUGAGAGGAGAAUCCCCCACACUGGCACUGAGAUACGGGCCAGACUCCUACGGGAGGCAGCAGUAGGGAAUAUUGGGCAAUGGGCGGAAGCCUGACCCAGCCACGCCGCGUGCAGGAAGAAGGCCCUCUGGGUUGUAAACUGCUUUUGAUUGGGAAGAAAGCAUCUCAUGCGUGGGAUUUUGACGGUACCAAUCGAAUAAGCCACGGCUAACUACGUGCCAGCCGCCGCAGUAAAAC
rnacentral:rRNA from 1 species